rnacentral:rRNA from 1 species
UACGGGGGGAGCAAGCGUUGUUCGGAUUUACUGGGCGUAAAGGGCGCGUAGGCGGCCACCGCAAGUCGAUUGUGAAAUCUCCGGGCUUAACCCGGAAAGGUCAACCGAUACUGCGGGGCUAGAGUGCAGAAGGGGCAACUGGAAUUCUCGGUGUAGCGGUGAAAUGCGUAGAUAUCGAGAGGAACACCUGCGGCGAAGGCGGGUUGCUGAGCUGACACUGACGCUGAAGCGCGAAAGCUAGGGGAGCGAACGGG